UGAAGGGUCAGAUCAGAGGGGGUGAAGAGAGGAAGGUGCAGGAAGCACAUUUGCAUGCAGGCCACGCCCUCAUUGAGGCAGAGAGGGGGAGGAGAUAAUAGAGGUCUGGGAUAGACAAGCCUGGGAUUGGGGGUCUCAGAAGGCAGUGCUGUUGAGGAGUCACCACCAUGGCCUGGACUCUGGUCUUUCUCAGUCUCCUUGCUCAGGGCACAAGUUCCUGGGCCCAGUCUACCCUGACUCAGCCAGCCUCAGUGUCCGGGGCUCUGGGACAGACAGUUACCAUUUCUUGUACUGGAACCAGCAAUGACAUUGGGA